rnacentral:rRNA from 1 species
GCUAAACGCGAAGAACCUUACCUACCCUUGACAUGUCUGGAAUCCCGAAGAGAUUUGGGAGUGCUCGCAAGAGAACCGGAACACAGGUGCUGCAUGGCUGUCGUCAGCUCGUGUCGUGAGAUGUUGGGUUAAGUCCCGCAACGAGCGCAACCCUUGCCAUUAGUUGCUACAUUUAGUUGGGCACUCUAAUGGGACUGCCGGUGACAAACCGGAGGAAGGUGGGGAUGACGUCAAGUCCUCAUGGCCCUUAUGGGUAGGGCUUCACACGUCAUACAAUGGUCGGGACAGAGGGUUGCCAAGCCGCGAGGUGGAGCCAAUCUCAGAAACCCGAUCGUAGUCCGGAUCGCAGUCUGCAACUCGACUGCGUGAAGUCGGAAUCGCUAGUAAUCGCGGAUCAGCAUGUCGCGGUGAAUACGUUCCCGGGUCUUGUACACACCG